GUUUCCCUGGAGUGUGCGUGAUCGACGAUUCGUUUUUGAGCCGAUACUCAAAAAUAGGAUGCCGCGUGUUACGGCCGGUGUGCGGACCCGGAAAUCCCGGGGGGCCUUAUGGUCGUACCUUGGCGUCCACCUUGGAAACAAGGUUCAAAAAAAUUGUCGACACGGCUCUCCGGGGAUAAU
rnacentral:other from 1 species